UCUCGGUCCUGCUGUAGGUUCAAUGCUGGAUGCUUCUCUUCACCUCACCAGUGGCGUGUGAACAAUUGAAAACAAAGGGCUUUCUGGACCAAACAGCAGCCGUGCUUCCCUCUCCUGAUGGAGCUGAGGGUGCCAUGUUGUCACGGCACCCGUGGGGCCACAGCCUAUGCAUGUCACGUUGGAAUGAUCAGCAACCUGCCGAGAGGCGCCAUGCAGUGAAACAACCAAAACCUUUUCCUCGCAGUGAUGGGCAGGAGCAGCUGGUGGCUUUUUCAGAGUAACUCCAGUAACCUGGUGCUUGGACUGUAGGCAGGAACGAGACCACUGCAGCCUCCUGCUCACGAAGAGGAAGGGUUGGCAGGAGCUCCUGUGCGCAGGCCUGCAGCUGGAUUUUCCUGGGCUGAAGAGGAUAGAUGUCAGAAUCAGACAAAAGCCAAUCAAUGAACAUGGGAGCAUGAGUGUCUCAAGCGGGGCUGGCAGCAGCAGGAAGCAGCAGUGCAAGGAGCAGCCCAAGGCAGAGGAGCGCUGGGAC